UGAUAUGUCUUUGGAUCAGAUUAAUCUACCAUUCGAUUAACUUUUGCUUCGUUUUUUUCAGUUCUUAGCCGACGUACGAGAGGGGUAGUUGAUCAUAGACUUGAACUUUUUGUUGGCAAGCCGGGUCCCCCAGGUAUCCCUGGACACCAAGGCCCACCAGGCAGAAUCUGAUCUAGAGGUCAGAAAGGCCACAAAGGCACCAGUGGAAACCCAGGUUUACGCGGACCGCCAGGCCCAUACGGGCAUCCUGGCUGGCCCGGACCACCAGGUCUUUUCGGCUUCCCGGGCGAGAUAGGUGAGAAGGGUUUCCCUGGAUACGACGGAAUCCCUGGGAUUAUCGGUGACGUAGGCUGGGCUGGUGUAAAUGGCAAACAUGGUUUUAGAGGCCCUCCUGGGUAUCUUGGUCAUGUGGGUUUUAUUGGUAUGCCCGGGCCUCCAGGCAUCAAAGGUGAUGUGGGGAUGCCAGUUAUGCUUGAUUGUUUACGUUUGUAGUAAACAGAAUUCAUUGUUACAUCUACACCGGAAUAAAACCGACUGAAAGCAACCAAAAAUGUCAAAUGAUUCAUGAGUAACUAGAUUCAAAAUAUGUAGCAAGUAACAUACCCCUUUACUUAAUUUUUGCUAUUGGAUAUAAUUAGUUACAAUGACUAACUUACGUAUUUUUAGUCCAAAAUUUUACACUUCUGUGCUAUAUAGCAGCUGUUUAUGAUGACAACAUAUUUCAGUUAUAUACAAUAGCUAUAGCUUUUGACUGUAUGUAUUUGCUUAAACACACAUCGGAUGAGUGCAAAUUGCAUUACAAUCUUGUAAUGGCUUAGUUGGCUAUCAUAAAUGUUAUUUUGCGAAACACUGAGCUUGUUCAAAUCUUAAUCAAAUCAAAAUAUUAAAAUAAGUUUAUCUCAUUUGUAACAUACUUAUAGCUCUACAUAAAUGUUGUAUUGUUUACAUUUAACUCGUGUCUAUUUUCUAAGGCAUCCAGGGAAUCGCCGGCGUUCCAGGUGACGUGAGAUUUUAUGGAGAAGCUGGUCUGAUGGAUGAACCUGGCUUUCAAGGACCAGAAGGGGAAAUGGGUCUCAAGGGGCCAAAUGGUGAAAGAGGAAAACAAGGAGACAUCGGACCAUGGGGACCUGUUGAAAGUCCGGCACCCAUGUAUGACCAUGUUUGGUGCUGCAUCGGCUGCAUUUGAUU